UGGAGUUGUGCCACCGUGACAUUCUUUGU
rnacentral:piRNA from 1 species